rnacentral:rRNA from 1 species
UGGGGAAUUUUGGACAAUGGGGGAAACCCUGAUCCAGCCAUCCCGCGUGUGCGAUGAAGGCCUUCGGGUUGUAAAGCACUUUUGGCAGGAAAGAAACGUCGCGGGUUAAUACCCCGCGAAACUGACGGUACCUGCAGAAUAAGCACCGGCUAACUACGUGCCAGCAGCCGCGGUAAUACGUAGGGUGCAAGCGUUAAUCGGAAUUACUGGGCGUAAAGCGUGCGCAGGCGGUUCGGAAAGAAAGAUGUGAAAUCCCAGAGCUUAACUUUGGAACUGCAUUUUUAACUACCGGGCUAGAGUGUGUCAGAGGGAGGUGGAAUUCCGCGUGUAGCAGUGAAAUGCGUAGAUAUGCGGAGGAACACCGAUGGCGAAGGCAGCCUCCUGGGAUAACACUGACGCUCAUGCACGAAAGCGUGGGGGAGCAAACAGGAUUAGAUACCCUGGUAGUCCACGCCCUAAACGAUGUCAACUAGCUGUUGGGGCCUUCGGGCCUUGGUAGCGCAGCUAACGCGUGAAGUUGACCGCCUGGGGAGUACGGUCGCAAGAUUAAAACUCAAAUGAAUUGACGGGGGUCGAUANCUGUUUU